rnacentral:rRNA from 1 species
UUUGGGCUAGGGGGUCAUCCCGACUUACCAAACCCAUGCAAACUCCGAAUACCGAGAAGUGCAAUUACGGGAGACACACGGCGGGUGAUAACGUCCGUCGUGGAAAGGGAAACAACCCAGACCAUCAGCUAAGGUCCCAAAAUUAUGGCUCAGUGGAAAACGAUGUGGGAAGGCCCAGACAGCUAGGAGGUUGGCUUAGAAGCAGCCAUCCUUUAAAGAAAGCGUAAUAGCUCACUAGUCGAGUCGGCCUGCGCGGAAGAUGUAACGGGGCUCAAACUGGAUACCGAAGCUGCGGCUGCAUACUUUGUAUGCGGGGUAGGGGAGCGUUGUGUAAGUCUGUGAAGGUGUCCUGAGAGGGAUGCUGGAGAUAUCACAAGUGCGAAUGCUGACAUGAGUAACGAUAAAGGGGGUGAGAGGCCCCCUCGCCGAAAAUCCAAGGUUUCCUGCUCAACGUUAAUCGGAGCAGGGUGAGUCGGCCCCUAAGGCGAGGCAGAAAUGCGUAGUCGAUGGGAAACAGGUUAAUAUUCCUGUACUUGUUAUUACUGCGAUGGGAUGACGGAGAAGGUUAGAUCAGCCAACUGUUGGAUAUGUUGGUUUAAGUGUGUAGACGUGUUGAGUAGGCAAAUCCGCUCGACUUAGUUGAGACAUGAUGACGAGCUUCAAUAGAAGUGAAGUGAUUGAUACCCGGCUUCCAGGAAAAGUCUCUAAGCUUCAGGUAAUAACGAACCGUACCCCAAACCGACACAGGUGGAUGGGAUGAGUAUUCUAAGGCGCUUGAGAGAACUCUGGUGAAGGAACUAGGCAAAAUGGCACCGUAACUUCGGGAGAAGGUGUGCCCCUGUUAGGUGAAGCGACUUGCUCGUGGAGCUGAAAGGGGUUGCAAUGACCAGGUGGCUGCGACUGUUUAUUAAAAACACAGCACUCUGCAAACUCGAAAGAGGACGUAUAGGGUGUGACGCCUGCCCGGUGCUGGAAGGUUAAGAGGAGUGCUUAGC